rnacentral:rRNA from 1 species
GCACAGCCGCGGGAAUACGUAGGGUGCAAGCGUUAAUCGGAAUUACUGGGCGUAAAGCGUGCGCAGGCGGUUAUAUAAGACAUAUGUGAAAUCCCCGGGCUCAACCUGGGAACUGCAUUUGUGACUGUAUAGCUAGAGUACGGCAGAGGGGGAUGGAAUUCCGCGUGUAGCAGUGAAAUUCGUAGAUAUGCGGAGGAACACCGAUGGCGAAGGCAAUCCCCUGGGCCUGUACUGACGCUCAUGCACGAAAGCGUGGGGAGCAAACAGGAUUAGAUACCCCUGUAGUCCCUGUCUCUUAUACA